CAGUAGCCGCGGGAAUACGUAGGUGGCGAGCGUUGUCCGGAAUUAUUGGGCGUAAAGGGCUCGCAGGCGGUUUCUUAAGUCUGAUGUGAAAGCCCCCGGCUCAACCGGGGAGGGUCAUUGGAAACUGGGAAACUUGAGUGCAGAAGAGGAGAGUGGAAUUCCACGUGUAGCGGUGAAAUGCGUAGAGAUGUGGGGGAACACCAGUGGCGAAGGCGACUCUCUGGUCUGUAACUGACGCUGAGGAGCGAAAGCGUGGGGAGCGAACAGGAUUAGAUACCCCAGUAGUCCCUGUCUCUUAUAC
rnacentral:rRNA from 1 species